rnacentral:lncRNA from 1 species
GGAGAUUGGGUGGCCGCAGAGUUUUCGAAGCGUGUUGACGCGGUGGCUGACGGUGGAGCUACCACCGUUGAUGGUAUCAAAACCGGGCUAUUCAGACUGACCUCGGCCGGUCUUGAUACCACCAAUGGUGGCGGCGCCGCCGCCCCUUGCCUUUCAAUCAUCGCCGCCGGUACCUCAUAUCUUUUUUCUUACGAAUUCAGUAAGGUUUCUUGAUUCUUUCUCUCAGAAUUGAAGAUCUAUAGCUGCUAAUAUGUUUUUUUUUUUCUUCUUCAAGGAAAUUGAAUUUGCAUCAAUUUUGUUACAGUCAAGUAAUGUAUAUGAUUUUUUUUUUUUAAAUAUUUGGAUAAAGCCGUUUUUAACAAUAAUAUAGAUAUUUUAGAUAUAAUAUUAUCUAUCCUCUUCCCCCUCAUAUUAAAGAUUGUAUUUUAUCAGGGGAUUUAGCAAUUUUCACCCUCUAAAUAUACUAUUUUGACACGUUGCACCCUUUAAUUAUAAAUAUGGGACUUUUGACCCUCCAAUUACCACUAGCUUGGCAGAGUGCACUCUUAAUAUCUUUUCAGGCAACGGAUUUCACCGGAAACUCAAUUUUUGCACCGGGCAAACAAUGUAUAUUUUUAUUUAUUUACUUUCUAAAUGACCUUUCAUUUAUUGCAAAACUAGAAUUUUGGUCUAAAAUUUGCACCAACACAAUCGCUGCAAAAGUUAGCAUCAGUUUCGACUAUAAUAUGAGUUAUCUCAAACUUUGUUUUCAGAAUGCAAUCCGAUUACCCAACAUAACCCAAAGAUGACAAAUAGUUUUCCAAUGCAAGUUUCAAUGGGAAAGUGUCGUAGGGUGCAAUCUGCUAAGUUAGUGGUAAUUGAAAGGUGUAAAGUGCUAUUUUUUAUAAUUUAAGGGUGGAAUGUGCCAAAUAUGUAUAGUUGAAUGGUGUAAAGUGCCAAUUACCCAUUUUAUCAGGUGUUAGUGUUUAAUUGCAAAUUUUAUUAGUUUUUCCUUUUUUCUUCAGGGAAAUUAGUUUAUUAGGAAGUGAGGUUAGAUUUGUACCAAUAGACAGUAGACACACGCAUGAGAGUGUGUUUUUCUGUAGUGUUUGGAAGAUGACGUAAGCGAUGGGUGACGUGGCUUCUCACCACUCACAACCUUAGUCCAACCCGAUUUCCGAUGCUGAUAGCCUGAUACGUACUUGUUUAAGUGUUCCGAAUUUAUUGAUAUAUUUAUCUUUUUUUUAUAUCAGUUUAAUUGCAAUAAAAUAAAAAAAUUAUACUUUGUUAUUAUUAAUUUAAAUAAGGGUGAAAUAUAUUUUAAUUUGAAUCAUAAACUAUGCCUUAGUAUUAGGGGUGUAAAAGGAUCGGGUCUUGUAAUAAAAAUAAAUUUGUACAUUGUUAUUAUUUAAUCGGAUUUAAAUAUACUUUCAUUUGCACCAUAACUCAGGAGUGUAAAUGAAUGGGGUCGCAAUUUUUUUGUCAAACUUGUAAACUAAUGUGUGAGCAUUGUUUGAUAAUCAAUCGAAUCGAGCUUAAAUUUUAAUCGAGUCAAAUAAGAGAUGUUUGACACUGCAUAGCAAAA